UUUCACGUUGAACCGAAACAUUUAAUCAUUUAAAAAGUAGUCAGUAAAAUUACAGUUAAGUUUAAUAUAUAACUGGAAUUUAAAAAAAAACAAAUAAAAAUUUAAAAUAGAACUUGUACCAUAGUUUUAUAAAACUUUACAGUUCAAAAAUCAAAUAACAAAGUAGAAAUUGAAAACACAAACUGAUAAUUUAUUUUCCACUAAGAUAGUCCGAGACCUCCGCAUACUGAAACUAGCGUCAGAAUUCGGAAAUGUACCUGAAAAGGGGAAACACUAAGGGGUGAGCUACUCUAGCUCAGUGUAAGUUCAAACGAACAACAACAAACUUAUAGAAAAGGAUUCUAGAUGAUAAAUUAGUAGCAUAUUAUAUUUAUAGGUAUACGCAGAAAAAGAUAGAGCACACCAAUCUCAUACAAAACACUCAACACAAGUGUUAUUCAGACAAACAGAAUAUAAACAGAUAAUCUUACACCCAUAACUCUCACACAGAUGCACACGCAAUGUAGUAGAGUAAUGAAACCCACCCAUCUAGCCAACACACCUCUCUAUCCUCUAAUCACACCCCAUAAGAGCUGUUUAAGCUUAUCCACCCAAACACACCAUAUAGGACCUCGUAGGCCCAUCCAACGCUACACACCAUAAAUGUAGACUAAGCCACUCAAAUAUUAAUACGCAGAAGAGCUGGCGUAUGUGCUAUACAGUGCAAUGCGGUAAUCCGCUGUAUAGACAUGUUGCAGUUUAAACUGCCAGAUAUGAUAAUAGUAUGCAGCAAAGCUGACGCACAUGUAGUAUAGUACGAUAAAUCGUUGUUCGAAAGAGUUGCAGUAGAACUGUCAGAUCAGAUCAGAAUCAGUAUCCCUUCUCUUUGCAAUCCCACACAAAACUUUACUUUAUGCAAGUGUAUGUAUGCCCUCACUAAAGUUUAGCCAAGAGUCAGAAUACACAGACACAUUUUCAGAUAAAAACAUACACAAGCUAAAAUUUGGUGCCUUAGGACCACAAGGUCGUGUGCUCUGGCCAUGUGGAAAUGCCUAGGCUGUGUAGAAGGUCAAACAACUGUGUGAAAGGGGCACAUGAUCGUGUGGCUGAGGCACACACCCCUGUGAAGAGAGGCACAUGACCAUGUGAUUGAGACACAUGCCCGUUUGGACCAGGGACAUGGUCAUCGGAACAGGCCGUGAAACUCACUAUCUAACUGUGCUUAACUAGAGUACAUGGUAGACACGGUUGUGUGAGGGUCUCACACAUCCAUUUGCUCACCAGACACAACUGUAUGUCCAAAACACACACCCGUAUGAGAUCCCUAAAUCCCCAAAUUAGCCACACAGUUGUGUGGCCAGUCCGUGUGGCACCAAUUUACUAAAUUCCUAAUUCCCAAUCACACUAGCCUGUGCCUAGGGGAUAGGGCCAUGUGAAAAAUGACAAAAUCCCCAAAUCGACCACAUGCCCGUGUGGCACCUAAAUCAACCCGAAAACCCUAAUCUUCAAAAGCACACAAUAGUGUGAAUCGGCACACGCCCUUGUAGUCAACGAACCAUCCACAAACAGCUUGAAAAUUAAAUUUUUUAGUCACUAAAACAACCCCCAACUGAUGAAACUCUGAAACAAACUAACCCGGGCAGACUUCCAUGUUAUUUAACAGUACUAUCGGGCUUCAACAACCAAUUUCUGAAAGCCACCAAGAUUGCCACAUUCUAUCAAAAGUAAUUUUACAAUUAAGAAAUAAAAUAGAAAAGGUUCGAAAUCCACACCUUAGCUACCGGAGAUGCCCAAACACUAACUCGGUGACAAGGAAGCGACUCUCCAACUUCCACAAGCAAAACCGUUUUCAAGAGAAAAUAAUGGAGAACCCCAAAAAGGAAAGAAAACUAAAGGGUAAAGGAAGAAUAACAUCCGACAAAAAGAAUAGAAAAAAAACAAAACAAAAUAAAUACCAACUAAUAGUUAAAAUAAAUAUAUUUUAACUUAAAACAAUUUACAAAUUAACAAAACAAAACAUAACAAAAGUAUUGCCCCCAAAACGCACAUACAAAGACUCAAACUAGUGACCCAGAGACAAACUAACACACAACCAACCACCAUACUAGGAGGCCCAUUCUAUCACUUAAAUACACAACUAAACACAAUAUCUUAACCUUCACACUGACCCUAUCCACAAAACUCAAAACUUCUAGCCCCAAAAUUUAGGGUGUCACACUUAGACUCCACCUAUUAUUCUGAAUCUAAAUUAAACGAUUUAUUCACUUGUGUCUUGAUUCGUAAAAAUCCCUAAAUUAUGUUAAUAUCUAUUUUGAGAGUAAAAACAACUGACUCUAGGUUGAUUAAUUGAAAUCUCUUUCUAAUUAAAACUUCUAUUGUCGCAUUAAUUCGAUUUAUGGAUUUCCCUAUUAGAUUUGACUCUAAUCCAGUAGAUUUAUGUAGUCCUAUCUCCACUCAAUUAUGCUAGAUCUACUCUUAAAUAGGGACUUUUGCUCCACUGAAUAAGCGCAUUUAACAUGAAUCAAUAUCCUGAAAAUAUCAAAACACGAAAUAAACAUACAUAAUUGAGAACAAGAAAUCAAUUAUUUAUCAUGUAAUUCAGAAAAUCAAAAAAUAAGAUCCAUCAUAGGUUUCAUCCUCCCUAGGUAUCUAGGUAAUUUAGUUCAUAAUUUAGUUAAAAUAAUAUCUAUUUAAAAAAAUUAUAGGAAAGAGAUGGUUAUUGAAUUGAUAAACUUAUUGUUAAGCAAUUUAUCCACCGCCUCUUCUUGUUUUUUGUCUUCAGAAUCUGCAUCUCCAAAAUAUUCAUCACUAUCAUAUUCACUAUGUUAGAAUUGAGUGACCCGAAUCCUUAUUUAAAUAAAGUACAAUGGUAAAAUAAAAUAAAAGUAAAAUCCGUAUAGAACUACACUUCUUUUAUUUUAUUCUAGAAUAAGGUUUUUUAAACCUCAUUAAACUCCAUCUAUUUGAAAUUGAUUAGAAUAAGGUGUUUCAAUCUUACUAACUCCUAUUAGAAUAUGGUUUUACAAGCCUAUAAAUACACAUAAUCUAUUCCUCUUGUAAUUAAUUUGAAUUCGACAUAGUGAAUUUUCUUCUCCUCUGCCCAUGGUUUUUUCUCGAAAGGGUUUCCACGUAAAAAUCUGUAUGUUCUUUAUUUUAUUUCUUUUUUCUUUGUGAUAUAUUUUCAUUACUAACAUUUUAUUUAUUUUAAAAAUUGGUAUAAAAGCUUCUAGGUUGUUCAUCUCGAUCACGGUAAUGGCGUCUUUGAAGUAUGAAAUUUUGCUAUUGGAUCACAACACCAGAUUUGUGUUAUGGCAGAUUAAGAUGCAAGCAGUUCUUGCACAGAUGGAUCUGGAAGAUGCCCUGCUAGGGAUAGAUAAGAUACCUUCAACAUUAAUAGAUGAAGAGAAGAAGCGUAAGGAUCAAAAAGCGUUAACAUAAUUACAUCUGCAUUUGUCUAACAAAAUUUUACAGGAUGUGAUGAAGGAGAAGACUGCUGCUGCAUUAUGGAAAAGGCUGGAACAAAUAUUUAUGUCGAAAACUCUAACUAGCAAGUUACAUAUGAAUCAGCGUCUUUAUGCUCAUCGUUUGGAGAAAGGUGUGUUUGUGCACGAACACUUAACAGUGUUUAAAGAAAUUCUCUCAAACUUGGACGCCAUGGAGGUUCAGUAUGAUAAGGAAGAUCUAGGGUUGAUUCUACUUUGUUCGUUACCCCUGUCCUAUUCAACCUUUAGAGAUACAAUUUUAUAUAGCCGUGAGUCUUUCACAAUUGAUGAGGUCUAUGAUUCUUUAACCUUGUAUGAUAAGAUGAAGCAUCUUGUGGUUAAAACUAACUCUCAGGGAGAGGGUCUUAUUGUUCGUGGGAGACAAGAUUGGAAUGUUGAUAAUGAUCGUGGAAGGACACAGGAACAGAAUCCUCGUAGUAAAUCUAAGGGUAGAUCGAAGUCUUCAAACAGAGGUAAAACUUGUAAGGUAGAUCGAAGUCUUCAAACAGAGGUAAAACUGAUAACUUCUGCAAGAAGAAAGUGUAGCACCCCAAACCCGGCCCAGAAGUUAUGGCCGGAUCCGGCAUGCCACAUCAAAAACGUUAAAAAAAUUCCAUUAUAAGUUCAGAAGACUUGAUGUUCAAAAGAUUAAUUCAUUAAGGGUUAAAGUGAAUAGAAGCUGUGCACCAGGUAGGAAACCGGAAAAGAGGUGGUGAGUCCAUCGGACUGCUUAAGCACCAAGCUCCCUUCGGAUCCAAUCCUAGACAUGCAUACUGCCAUUGCCACACCUUAACGUCAUGGAUAUUUAUAGGAAACCGAUUUGAUUAAGUCAUUUUUAGGAAAAGUGAUUAAUUUUGGAAAAUACUUUCAUUACGGAAGCUUUGCUUGUUGUCGUGUUAUUUUGAAAUCAACUGUUGUUUUUGAAAAUGCGCCCUAAAGCUAUCCAAUUUCAACAGUUAAAAUAAGUAUUACCUAUCUUAGAAAUACAUAUUAAAAACCAUCAAAAAUAAAUAAGCGGCCUUAUUACAUUUAAAAGCCCAAAACCUCAAACGUAAUUAAAAGGAUGUCUAGUUCACCAGAAGAAAAUCAAACUUUCAGAAAAGGUGGCCACUCCGAAUUCCCUCACAGCUCCAAGCCCACUAUGGUUGGGGAUUUCCCGCGUGGAUGAAAAUAAAAGGGAUGAGUUUGGGGAAACUCAGUGUGUAAAAUAACCAAACCAUAGUCUAAAUCAGCUCAACCCACAGAAACAGAAUAAGUUAGCCUUAGCCCAGAACAGAAUUCAGAAUAAAGCCCAUAGGCCCAUAACAGAACAGAACAGAACAUAUAUUACAUGUUUAUGCAGAAACCCAACCAUAUCCAACCGUAUACACCCCCGUACCAACCUUACACCGUGUGGGGAGACAACUCGACCCACCCAACCGCUACACACCAUAGAAUUUGCAGCAUGGCUGCCAGAACAGAUAAUGUGACAGAGUCACCAGAUACAGAUAAUCGUGGCAGAGCCACCAGAACAGAUAUAUGUGGCAGAGCCACCAGAUCAGAUAUUUGUGGCAUAGCCACCAGAACGCUUCCUCCAUAAUAUAACCCAUGUCCCCAUGCAACAAAUAUAUAAUCAUGGCAUCCAUCAUACAGAAUCAGAUCGCUAUGCUUUUCAGUCAAAAUUAACCCUACGGGUAUAACGGUAAUUUUGCACCUAGGGGUAUAACAGUAAUUUUCCAUACAUAGGGGUAUUAUAGUAAUUUAGCUACUUUCAGGGUUUUCAUGCAUAUCCUAACUAUUUACGUACUAUCAGAACACUUACCGCGCAUACUUACCGAAUUGGGCCCGUUGGCCCAUUAUCAAAAUGUACGAAAUCGCGCGUACUGCAGUUUAUUACUUUAGAUUACUAAAUAUACAAACCCAACUAUUUUACGAGCAUUCGCACACUCGUAAAUUCCCAAAAUGCCGACUUUUCGGCAUUUCGGCUUUUGCCAAUCUAGUCUAUGAGAGGGUGUCAGUUACACACCUGUUUGCGACGAUAUGCUGACGAGAUCCACAUACGAACCGCCUACAAUUGGAUUACUAACACGUUAAUCUAACUAUUCAAAUACAAACUACGCAUUAACCCCUUACAAUAUUCGGCCAACCACACCUACAGAUCAUAGUAAGCUUAUAAGAAACCAAUAAGCAACUCAUUAACAAAUUUUUGUCAAUGUUUACCACAUAAUCAUAAUUCCACUGCAAGCUGUCUUCCUGAGCAACAGUCACUAAAUUAUUUAUAACUGGAGCUACGAAACUCCAAAUCAAGUGUCGUUAAUUUUCCCUGAAAAUAGACUCAUAUAUAUUCUAUCCAUAAAAUUUUCAGAAUUUUUGGUUUAGCCAAUCAAUACCAGAUUUGUCUCAAAGUUUUCCCAUGUUUCACUAUUUGACUAAUCUGACCACCCUUCAUUACGAAUCAAAUUUCUCAUUGUACAGAAUUCAAAAUAUGUUCUUGUUUAUUUCAUUAGAAACUAGACUCAAUAAGCUUUAAUUACAUAAUUUAUGCAGCUUCUAACUAAUCUUCCACAAUUUAUGGUGAUUUUCCAAAGUCACGUUACUGCUGCUAUCCCAAGCAGAUUUAUUACCAAAUCACUCUUUCACACCUAACUUGCAUGCUUGUUAUUUAAACAUGUAUAUCACCAAUCAAUCAUCAUAUAUCUAUGAUUUUACUUAAGUAUAAUCUCCAUUUCAUCAUUUUAAAGCACAACAUGUUAGCUGAUUUUUCCCUUUAACAUCUAAGGCACAUGCAUGCUUAUUUGUUUGGCUCAACUUCACCUAUCUUCCAUUUUUCAUCAAAAGAACAUGAAACAACAACCAUUUCCUUCAUUUUAAUUCAUGACUAAAUGCUCACAACACAACUAAAAAUCAAAAUAUACUUCAAGAGUUAAGGUAGAAUCAAGAAGAACUCAUGAACCUCAAAAUAGAAGCAAAGUACCAAGAACUUACCUUCAAUUUUCUUCCUCCUAAUGACCAAAUACUCAAGAGCUUUCUCCUCUCCUUUCUCUUCUCUAACUUCCAGCUAUGAUGGACAAAACUUUGUUCUUUUCACCCC
rnacentral:lncRNA from 1 species